ACGAUUAAAAUGUCCUUUAAGACCACCAUACGUACAUGGACGAACAAGUUGGAAUGGACCACCUUCAAUGACUGCCUACUUUUAUAAUGAGGAGAAAAACCCUAAUCUGUCCAGAGGAGAACGUUUGACGGUGGUGAGGAAUACACAGACAGGGGGGUACGACCUUAAGAUAACAGGACUCACCAGAGAGGAGGACGUGGGGCUGUACUCGUGUGUUGUUAACACUAACCCUCCACAACAAAGCAAAAUUUAUCUUAAGUUAUAUUUGCCUCCUUCCAGCAUAAACAUUGAUUCCUACAAUGAAAAUGGCACCUUAUGAGUCAAUGGUACAGAAGGAUCUCCUUUAAAUCUGUCAUGUCAGUCAUCAGGUGGUGAUCCUCCUGCCAAUGUGUCAUGGUAUAAAGACUUUGCAUUAUUAUCUACUGGUAUUAAUGCUACUAUGUACAGCUUUCUUCCUACAAGAGUCGAUGACCUCCAGAACUACACAUGUACUUCAUACAAUCCUGCUUUAUCACAGCCAAUGAGAAGAAUUGUUCAAAUAUUCCUUGACUUAAGACCAAGAACCACAAAAAUUUCCAAAAUUCAAAACACAAAGGAGGGCAAUCAGAUAACGGUCACGUGUUCAUCUUCUGGGGGUCGUCCACCUGUAUCACUCUGGUGGAUAUUCCGGGAAACAUACUUAAAAUCAACGUACGUUUCCUGUACGAUCGACCCUUCUACUCAAACUCACAUAGUGAAUGCAAUAUUAAACAUUACAGUCAACAAAGAGGACAACGGAAAGAACAUCAUAUGUAUGGCUAAUAACUCAGUUGUGCCCACUGGUCUUCAGU